UGAAAUGGUGCGGUAAGAGCGCACCGCGAGCCGGGCAACCGGCCGGCACGGCAAACCCCAUCGGGAGCAAGACCAAAUAGGGAACCAUUGGCGCGGCCCGCGUUGGUUCCGGGUAGGUUGCUUGAACCGUCCAGCGAUGGGCGGUCUAGAGGAAUGACUGUCCACGACAGAACCCGGCUUACCGGCCGGCUCCGCAC
rnacentral:RNase_P_RNA from 1 species